CCUACGGGAGGCAGCAGUAGGGAAUCUUUCACAAUGGGCGAAAGCCUGAUGGAGCAACGCCGCGUGCAGGAAGAAGGCCUUCGGGUUGUAAACUGCUUUUAUAAGCGAGAAAGAUGAUGGUAACUAAGGAAUAAGGAUCGGCUAACGACGAGCCAGAAGCCGCGGUCAUACGAAGGAACCGAGCAUUCGCCGGAGGGACUGGGGGUCAAGAGUUGCGUAGGUGGCAUAAUAAGUAGCUAGUGAAAUCUGGUGGCUCAACCAUUCAGACUAUUAGCGAAACUGUUAAGCUCGAGACCGUUAGGGGCAUCUGGCAUUUCUAGUGUAGGCGUGCAAUCCGUAGAUAUUCG
rnacentral:rRNA from 1 species